CAGGACAUAGCCAAGAUAGCUAAAGCACCUCCCUUACACCGAGAUAUCACCCGUGCAAAUCGGGUUGUCCUGA
rnacentral:tRNA from 1 species